AUCAUUGUGAAGCAGAAUUCACCAAGCGUCGGAUUGUUCACCCGCAAAUAGGGAACGUGAGCUGGGUUUAGACCGUCGUGAGACAGGUUAGUUUUACCCUACCGAUGGAGCGUUAUUGGGCAAGUAGAGCAACUCAGUACGAGAGGAACCGUUGUUCGACAGAAUUGGUCUUGCGGUUGGUCGAGGGGCCACGCCGCGCAGCUACCCUGUCUAGGAUUACGGCUGAACGCCUCUAAGCCGGAAACCAUGCUUAGGCAAGCAGUAACGGGAAACUGGAUGCAAGUGGCGAGCGGCGCAGAAGCGCAGAGUAGGGCAGUGCAAGCUGUCGGCAACGCGGGGGGGAGACUCGGUCCUUGCCUUUUUUCACGAAGCUGUGGGGCAAGGGCUGGUCUUUGAGAUGUGGAGUACGCGGUAGUCACUUGCGUGGAUCCUCUGUAGAUGACUUUGUUCGCAUGGGGAGUUGUAGGAAGCUGAGUGGCCGAGUUUGCCACGAACUUUUGAGACCUUGCCCUAUCUUUUUUAGAGU
rnacentral:ncRNA from 1 species